GUGCAUGUCUGUACUCACGCUUUCCUGGCCGCACAUAACGUGCUGUUACUUGUUUGCGAGUUCUAAUCGUGCCACCAUACAGUACGGACGUGUUCACAUUCGCCUCUUGUUAUUGUAUUGUUCGUAUGUUACAUUUACAUUCUUAAUUCAGUUCGACGGCGUACGAAAACCUCAGCGUAGCAUUGCGUUAGUACGUUAAUGUUUAAUGUGUACGUUAAACAAGACGACAACGCGGGAACCCGCAACAUCGUCUUGCCCGCUUCGAAGGAAUCGGCUGUUUCAUGGGCCUGGGAGAAGGGACUUCUUCGUACUACAAAGAAUUGUAGUACCCAUCGACGGCCCAUGAAGCUCUACGCAGGCGGGGAACACGGUCUUGGCCGUUUCCGAUGCCCUGCUGGCCGCGGUAACUGCAAGCAGUACGCGGCCACAGUCGAUUCCUUCUUUCAGGAUGUCCGUCUGCCGUUGCAUAAGGCAAUAAAGCUUAUGUAUUGCUUCACUUCCGACUUCUCCUACGAGGUUACCGCAACGGAGGUAUUCGACGUAGGAGAAGAUCAGGAAGUAUUAUCAACGGACACGAUUGCAGCGUGAUUCCGCUAUUGUCGGGAGAUGAUAGUGGACCACGUUUGCAAAAUGCAAGCGGGCAAGCCGAAAUUAGGCGGGAUCGAUGAAGGAGGUUCUGCAAUCGUUGUACAGAUCGAUGAGGCCAAAUUCGACAAGUGCAAGUAUAACCGUGGCCGUAUCAUCGACGGCCACUGGGUACUUGGCAUGGUCGACACAUCGACCAACGAUUGUAGAAUGGUUGUCGUUCAUGACCGGAAAGAGGCAACCUUCACCCCCUAAUCAAGGAAAACGUUGCUGCAGGCAAUGAGAUCCAUACGGACUCAUUUAGGAGUUACAUGGGUCUCGCUGCUGAAGGAUUCACCCAUAAGAUGGUGAAUCAUAGCGUCGAAUUUGUUGCGCCUGAUGGAACUCAUACGCAACAAAUCGAAGCUAACUGGCGACCGGCAAAGGAUUGGAUGCGCGGAAGAGGCCGCUUCCACGACGAAGACUUUGCCGAUCGCCUGUGUGAGUAUUUGUAGUGAAAAUUCUGUAAAUCUCACACAAUUCAUCUUAUGGAUUUCUUGAUCGCAGCAAUCAAGGAGCAGUACGUUUUCGAAUAAGGUAACUUGAACUUAGUCACUUAAACGAACCAAUCAGAUGAUGGGUAGAAACAAUAUGGCGUCAUUCUAACCUCUCAAAUGUCACUAAGUCAGAAACUACAAAAAAAAAGGACCCCUUAAUUUGUGGUCCCCCAAAACGAAGUUUUACCUGUAUAUAUAUAAAACUUAAAUAUUAAAAAAAAUAUAAAUAAAGGAAGCAGUUCAACUCCGUUUUUUAAUUACUU